AUGCUCACUUCGGCAGCACAUAUACUAACAUUGGAACGAUACAGAGAAGAUUAGCAUGGCCCCUGUGCAAGGAUGACAAUAAAAAGAAAAGAAAAAGAGUUGC